rnacentral:rRNA from 1 species
CCCUUAGAUGUUCUGGGCCGCACGCGCGCUACACUGAUCGAUUCAACGAGUUUUGAAAUAAUUUUUAUAAUUUUUCAUAUCCUUUGUCGGAAGGCAUGGGUAAUCUUUUAAAUGUCGAUCGUGAUGGGGCUAGAUUCUUGCAAUUAUUAAUCUCCAACGAGGAAUUCCUAGUAAACGCAAGUCAUCAGCUUGCAUUGAUUACGUCCCUGCCCUUUGUACACACCGCCCGUCGCACCUACCGAUUGGAUGGUCCGGUGAAGCCUCGGGAUUGUGGCCAGUGCCUUUUUGGUUUUGGUUGCGAGAACUUGUCUAAACCUUAUCAUCUAGAGGAAGGUGAAGUCGUAACA